UUUAAGAUCAACAAUCAGGUCAAGAUGACUAUCACUGAAAAUAAUGGCAAAAAAAUUUAUGUGCACUUACCAAAAAAUAAUCCAAAAAUGUUUCAAAA